rnacentral:rRNA from 1 species
CCCUUAGAUGUCCGGGGCCGCACGCGCGCUACACUGAAGGAAUCAGCGUGGCUUUCUCCCUGACCCGAAAGGGUUGGGAAACCCGUUGAAUCUCCUUCGUGAUAGGGAUUGGGGCUUGAGAUUGUUCCCCAUGAACGAGGAAUUCCCAGUAAGCGCGAGUCAUAAGCUCGCGUUGAUUACGUCCCUGCCCUUUGUACACACCGCCCGUCGCUACUACCGAUUGAACGGUUUAGUGAGGGCCUCGGAUUGGUCUCGGCCCGCUCUUUACCGGGCGGCGCCGUUGGUCGAGAAGACGCUCGAACUUGAUCGUUUAGAGGAAGUAAAAGUCGUAACA